rnacentral:rRNA from 1 species
AAUCCAUAGGUUAAUGAGGCGAACCGGGGGAACUGAAACAUCUAAGUACCCCGAGGAAAAGAAAUCAACCGAGAUUCCCCCAGUAGCGGCGAGCGAACGGGGAGGAGCCCAGAGCCUGAAUCAGCAUGUGUGUUAGUGGAAGCGUCUGGAAAGGCGCGCGAUACAGGGUGACAGCCCCGUACACAAAAGCGCAUGUGCUGUGAGCUCGAUGAGUAGGGCGGGACACGUGGUAUCCUGUCUGAAUAUGGGGGGACCAUCCUCCAAGGCUAAAUACUCCUGACUGACCGAUAGUGAACCAGUACCGUGAGGGAAAGGCGAAAAGAACCCCGGCGAGGGGAGUGAAAAAGAACCUGAAACCGUGUACGUACAAGCAGUGGGAGCACCCUUCGGGGUGUGACUGCGUACCUUUUGUAUAAUGGGUCAGCGACUUAUAUUCUGUAGCAAGGUUAACCGUAUAGGGGAGCCGGAGGGAAACCGAGUCUUAACCGGGCGUUAAGUUGCAGGGUAUAGACCCGAAACCCGGUGAUCUAGCCAUGGGCAGGUUGAAGGUUGGGUAACACUAACUGGAGGACCGAACCGACUAAUGUUGAAAAAUUAGCGGAUGACCUGUGGCUGGGGGUGAAAGGCCAAUCAAACCGGGAGAUAGCUGGUUCUCCCCGAAAGCUAUUUAGGUAGCGCCUCGUGAAUUCAUCUCCGGGGGUAGAGCACUGUUUCGGCUAGGGGGCCAUCCCGGCUUACCAACCCGAUGCAAACUGCGAAUACCGGAGAAUGUUAUCACGGGAGACACACGGCGGGUGCUAACGUCCGUCGUGAAGAGGGAAACAACCCAGACCGCCAGCUAAGGUCCCAAAGUCAUGGUUAAGUGGGAAACGAUGUGGGAAGGCCCAGACAGCCAGGAUGUUGGCUUAGAAGCAGCCAUCAUUUAAAGAAAGCGUAAUAGCUCACUGGUCGAGUCGGCCUGCGCGGAAGAUGUAACGGGGCUAAACCAUGCACCGAAGCUGCGGCAGCGAACGUAUCACCCAAGACAACUUUACGGAGUUGACGAUUGACGGAGCGAAGCGACGUCAAAGCGUUCAUUAAAGUCGAGUUGGCUUAGGGAUACGUUCGUUGGGUAGGGGAGCGUUCUGUAAGCCUGUGAAGGUGUGUCGUGAGGCAUGCUGGAGGUAUCAGAAGUGCGAAUGCUGACAUAAGUAACGAUAAAGCGGGUGAAAAGCCCGCUCGCCGGAAGACCAAGGGUUCCUGUCCAACGUUAAUCGGGGCAGGGUGAGUCGACCCCUAAGGCGAGGCCGAAAGGCGUAGUCGAUGGGAAACGGGUUAAUAUUCCCGUACUUGGUGUUACUGCGAAGGGGGGACGGAGAAGGCUAUGUUGGCCGGGCGACGGUUGUCCCGGUUUAAGCGUGUAGGUGUGUGUUCCAGGUAAAUCCGGUUCACUUUAACACUGAGGCGUGACGACGAGGCACUACGGUGCUGAAGCAACAAAUGCCCUGCUUCCAGGAAAAGCCUCUAAGCAUCAGGUAACAUCAAAUCGUACCCCAAACCGACACAGGUGGUCAGGUAGAGAAUACCAAGGCGCUUGAGAGAACUCGGGUGAAGGAACUAGGCAAAAUGGUGCCGUAACUUCGGGAGAAGGCACGCUGACACGUAGGUGAAGUGAUUUACUCAUGGAGCUGAAGUCAGUCGAAGAUACCAGCUGGCUGCAACUGUUUAUUAAAAACACAGCACUGUGCAAACACGAAAGUGGACGUAUACGGUGUGACGCCUGCCCGGUGCCGGAAGGUUAAUUGAUGGGGUCAGCGCAAGCGAAGCUCCUGAUCGAAGCCCCGGUAAACGGCGGCCGUAACUAUAACGGUCCUAAGGUAGCGAAAUUCCUUGUCGGGUAAGUUCCGACCUGCACGAAUGGCGUAAUGAUGGCCAGGCUGUCUCCACCCGAGACUCAGUGAAAUUGAACUCGCUGUGAAGAUGCAGUGUACCCGCGGCAAGACGGAAAGACCCCGUGAACCUUUACUAUAGCUUGACACUGAACAUUGAGCCUUGAUGUGUAGGAUAGGUGGGAGGCUUUGAAGUGUGGACGCCAGUCUGCAUGGAGCCGACCUUGAAAUACCACCCUUUAAUGUUUGAUGUUCUAACGUGGACCCGUAAUCCGGGUUGCGGACAGUGUCUGGUGGGUAGUUUGACUGGGGCGGUCUCCUCCUAAAGAGUAACGGAGGAGCACGAAGGUUGGCUAAUCCUGGUCGGACAUCAGGAGGUUAGUGCAAUGGCAUAAGCCAGCUUGACUGCGAGCGUGACGGCGCGAGCAGGUGCGAAAGCAGGUCAUAGUGAUCCGGUGGUUCUGAAUGGAAGGGCCAUCGCUCAACGGAUAAAAGGUACUCCGGGGAUAACAGGCUGAUACCGCCCAAGAGUUCAUAUCGACGGCGGUGUUUGGCACCUCGAUGUCGGCUCAUCACAUCCUGGGGCUGAAGUAGGUCCCAAGGGUAUGGCUGUUCGCCAUUUAAAGUGGUACGCGAGCUGGGUUUAGAACGUCGUGAGACAGUUCGGUCCCUAUCUGCCGUGGGCGCUGGAGAACUGAGGGGGGCUGCUCCUAGUACGAGAGGACCGGAGUGGACGCAUCACUGGUGUUCGGGUUGUCAUGCCAAUGGCACUGCCCGGUAGCUAAAUGCGGAAGAGAUAAGUGCUGAAAGCAUCUAAGCACGAAACUUGCCCCGAGAUGAGUUCUCCCUGAGACUUAGAGUCUCCUGAAGGAACGUUGAAGACGACGACGUUGAUAGGCCGGGUGUGUAAGCGCAGCGAUGCGUUGAGCUAACCGGUACUAAUGAACCGUGAGGCUUAACCUUACAACGCCGAAG